rnacentral:tRNA from 1 species
GCCGGGAUAGCUGAGUUGGUAGAGCA